rnacentral:rRNA from 1 species
AGCGGCGGACGGGUGAGUAACGCGUGGGUAACCUGCCCUGUACACACGGAUAACAUACCGAAAGGUAUGCUAAUACGAGAUAAUAUGCUUUUGUCGCAUGGUAGAAGUAUCAAAGCUUUUGCGGUACAGGAUGGACCCGCGUCUGAUUAGCUAGCUGGUAAGGUAACGGCUUACCAAGGCGACGAUCAGUAGCCGACCUGAGAGGGUGAUCGGCCACAUUGGAACUGAGACACGGUCCAAACUCCUACGGGAGGCAGCAGUGGGGAAUAUUGCACAAUGGGCGAAAGCCUGAUGCAGCAACGCCGCGUGAGCGAUGAAGGCCUUCGGGUCGUAAAGCUCUGUCCUCAAGGAAGAUAAUGACGGUACUUGAGGAGGAAGCCCCGGCUAACUACGUGCCAGCAGCCGCGGUAAUACGUAGGGGGCUAGCGUUAUCCGGAAUUACGGGGCGUAAAGGGUGCGUAGGUGGUUUCUUAAGUCAGAGGUGAAAGGCUACGGCUCAACCGUAGUAAGCCUUUGAAACUGGGAAGCUUGAGUGCAGGAGAGGAGAGUGGAAUUCCUAGUGUAGCGGUGAAAUGCGUAGAUAUUAGGAGGAACGCCAGUUGCGAAGGCGGCUCUCUGGGACUGUAACUGACACUGAGGCACGAAAGCGUGGGGAGCAAACAGGAUUAGAUACCCUGGUAGUCCACGCCGUAAACGAUGAGUACUAGCUGU